UGGAUUCUAGUUCUGUCACUAGGAUGGAGUGCAGUGGCGUGAUCUUGGCUCACAGCAACGUCUGCCUCUCGAGUAGCUGGGAUUACAGGCACCCGCCACCAUGCCUGGCUAAUUUUUUGUACUUUUAGUAGAGGAGAGGUUUCACCAUGUUGGACAGGCUGGUCUUGAACUCCUGACCUCAAGUGAUCCUCCCCCCUCAGCCUCCCAGAGUGCUGAGAUUACAGACGUGAGCCACUGCACCCAGCAACAUUUCUCUUCUUUAAAUAACAACCUUUUUUUCUGAUCGGAGCACCUUGGAAACGACACAUUUCUCCUCUACAACUCCUUUAGUGCCAUUUAUCUCGUCCCCCGCAACUGCUCCCUCCAAACUGCCUUGUCUUGGGGUCUGCAGGGCAGGGAGAUAAGAACCUUCCUCUCCCCGUGGGAUCUGCCCUUCCACAAUGGCAAACAGCCCUGCCCAGGCCCAUGCUCUGCAGGGUGCAGACGCAUGGGACCUAACAGGAGGCACAUCCCAUGGUUGCCCAAAUCAGUGCCCAUCACACCCUGAGCCCCCAGAGAACACUGUCCUUGUCAUCCCUCCUCCUAUUUCACCUCCAACAUUAUUGAGUAAUUGGUUGUUAUUUUCUCAUUCUGAAAUUUUAUUUUUAUUCUGUUUAAUUGCGGUGCACAACAUGACACUUUGAGAUACAUGUUCACAGCCCAGCGAUCACUACAGCCAGCCAAAUAAUGCAGCCAUCCCCUCCCAUGGCUAGUUUUUUGUGUGAUAAGAGCACCUAAAAUCUACUCUCUCAGCAAAUAUCCCAUCUAUGAGGCGGUAUUAUAAGCUACAGUUCCCACACUGCACACUGGUCCUCUAGACUAAUUGAUCCCACAUAACUGCGAUCCAUGCCCUUAAACCUCGACCCCUCAUUCCGCCACUCCCCUGCCCUGGCGCUCGCCAUUUCACUCUUGUCUGCAUGGCUCUAGCCUUUUCUUAGCUGCUGCAUACACUAGAGAUCUCAGUCAGUGGCAGGAAUGCUGUUCCUGCCCUGCUUGCAACCCUUCCUUGCUUCUGUUCUGUGGGAUGAGCACCCCAUGUUCUUUGGUCCUUGUCCUCAGCAGGCCCUUGUGGCCCUCCCAAAAAAAUCAGUGCCCCUGUACCCGUGAGUUGCUUCAGAUGCUGCUCUCAGCACACUGUGCAGCCUCGUGUCUCAUUUUGUCUCUCCUGCUGGUCCCUUGUGCAUUGAGGGCAAAGACCAUGACUCACUCGGCUCUCCAGCCUCAGUCUCUGGCACACAGUCAAUGCUUCAUGCAUCUUUGUGGAACUGGAUCAAAAUGAAUGGCAUCUUGGUCACACUUCAGCCACAGAGGUACAGGCCAAGAUUUAUUAUAAGAAAUUGACUCACACAGUGCUGGGGCUGGUGAAGCAAGUUGGAAUCAUGUAGAACAAGAUGGCAGGAGGGAAGAACCUGAUCCACUGGGAAUACCAUGGGCAUUAGCCAAAGGGUCGUCCUCCAGCAGCAUUUCUUCUCCUCCUCUGGGAAGUCCCAGUCUGCUUCAAGACCUUCAAACUAACGAAGUCAGACCCACCAGGUGAUCCCCUGUCCUUAAAGUCAACUGACUAGGAACUGUAAUCACAUCUGGAAUGACAGUCUCAGGCUUGGUUAUAACAAAAGGUAUUCAGGUCUAUGUUUUGG
rnacentral:lncRNA from 10 species